GCCCCUGUAGCUCAAUUGGCAGAGCGGCGGGCUUAUACCCUGCAAGCACCAGAUUAGUGCGUGAUCCCGGUUCGAAUCCGGGCAGGGGCA
rnacentral:tRNA from 1 species